UAUUUCUCCCCUUCUCCAACAUCCCACUCUCUCUCCAAUCUCUGCCGGCGAUUUUGGCGUCGCCGGCGAGCGACGCCGGCCGCCGGUCACGUCUCCCCUCUCCCCUCUUUCUCUAUCUCGGCCUCUCUCUCUCUCUCUGCCGCCUCUCUCUCUCUCGGCCUCUCUCUCUCGGCCGCCUCUCUCUCUGCCGCGAACCGCCACCUCCGCCGUCGCCGCCGGGCCGCUGCUGCCGUCACUGGUGGGCUGCUGCCGCCGUCGCCGCCGGGUACACGGCGGUCUCCUCGCCGUCGACCGAGAGAGAUUCGGAUAGAUCGUGAAAAUGGGGUCGAAAGAGAUUAAUUUCGUUGUGAAAAGUCGGACAACCGCCGGAAUGUUGCCGGACUGCCGCCGGACUACCGCCGCCGCCGAUCUGCCGCCGCUGCCGGUGGGCCACUGCCGGGCAGUCUCUCCGAGGACCGGCAGCUUCUUCACUCACGAGGUAUCGGGGUUCAAGACGUGGCUAUUGCGCAAGAUCCGGAGGGCAUGGAGAGUAUUUUAUUUUAUUUUUAUUUUUAUUUAUUAUUAUUAUUUUUUUUAAUAUUUACUUAAACGUUGAACUCAUGUACGGACUUUUAUUUGAAACUCGGUCUUCACAAACGGACUUUUAUUAGAGCAAACAUCUAUAAUGACUAUUACUAUUUUUGUUCACUACUCAAAAUAUACUUCACAACGAUUAAUCAUAACAAGAAGUAAUAAUAAGAAAAUUUCGACGCGAAACUUAUAUAUAU